CACGUAGCUAGCCGUGGCUUUCUGAUUAGGUACCGUCAAGAUGUGCACAGUUACUUACACAUUUGUUCUUCCCUAAUAACAGGGUUUUACGAGCCGAAACCCUUCAUCACUCACGCGGCGUUGCUCCGUCAGGCUUUCGCCCAUUGCGGAAGAUUCCCUACUGCUGCCUCCCGUAGGAGUCUGGACCGUGUCUCAGUUCCAGUGUGGCCGAUCACCCUCUCAGGUCGGCUACGUAUCGUCGCCUUGGUAAGCCGUUACCUUACCAACUAGCUAAUACGGCGCGGGUCCAUCUAUAAGUGAUAGCAAAACCAUCUUUCACUUUAAGAACCAUGCGGUUCUAAAUGUUAUCGGUAUUAGCUCCGUUUCCGAAGUUAUCCAGUCUUAUAGGUAGGUUACCCACGUGUUACUCACCGUCCGCCGCUAACUUCAAAGGAGCAAAGCUCCUUAUCUGUUCGCUCGAACUUGCAUGUAUUAGGUCACGCCCGCCAGCGUCAGUCCUUGAGUACCAGGA
rnacentral:rRNA from 1 species